GUGGUAAUUCUAGAGCUAAUACAUGCUAAAAACCCCGACUUCGGAAGGGGUGUAUUUAUUAGAUUAAAAACCAAUGCCCUUCGGGGCUCUCUGGUGAUUCAUAAUAACUUCUCGAAUCGCACGGCCUUGCGCCGGCGAUGGUUCAUUCAAAUUUCUGCCCUAUCAACUUUCGACGGCUGGGUCUUGGCCAGCCAUGGUGACAACGGGUAACGGAGGGUUAGGGCUCGACCCCGGAGAAGGAGCCUGAGAAACGGCUACUACAUCCAAGGAAGGCAGCAGGCGCGCAAAUUACCCAAUCCCGACUCGGGGAGGUAGUGACAAUAAAUACUGAUACAGGGCUCUUUUGGGUCUUGUAAUUGGAAUGAGUACAAUUUAAAUCCCUUAACGAGGAACAAUUGGAGGGCAAGUCUGGUGCCAGCAGCCGCGGUAAUUCCAGCUCCAAUAGCGUAUAUUAAAGUUGUUGCAGUUAAAAAGCUCGUAGUUGAACCUUGGGCCUGGCUGGCCGGUCCGCCUCACCGCGUGCACUGGUCCGGCCGGGCC
rnacentral:rRNA from 1 species